CAUUUUAUCCUAGAUUGGUUCUUGCAAAUGCCAAUCUAGCAGGCUUUGUAUUCUUUUUUUCUAGGCAUAAUGUUUUUUGACUGUAUCUUAAUUCACCGACAUCGACAAGUCAUCCCCAUCCAUUGUGGUGAGAAUGAGAGCCCCUCCCGAGAAGGACUUUUUGACAAUGAAGGAUCAUUCAUAGUGGGGAGUCGACUUGCCUCAAGGAUCCGAGUAUAUAGGAGAGUAUCUCUUGAGCACGAGUUCACCUUCUUGAAACACCCGAG
rnacentral:lncRNA from 1 species